rnacentral:rRNA from 1 species
UACGGGGGAGCAAGCGUUGUUCGGAUUUACUGGGCGUAAAGGGCGCGUAGGCGGCCAGCACAAGUCAGUUGUGAAAUCUCCGAGCUUAACUCGGAAAGGUCAACUGAUACUGUGCGACUAGAGUGCGGAAGGGGCAACUGGAAUUCUCGGUGUAGCGGUGAAAUGCGUAGAUAUCGAGAGGAACACCUGCGGCGAAGGCGGUGCUGGCCG